UACGGGGGGGGCAAGCGUUGUUCGGAAUUACUGGGCGUAAAGGGCUCGUAGGUGGCCCACUAAGUCAGACGUGAAAUCCCUCAGCUUAACUGGGGAACUGCGUCUGAUACUGGAUGGCUUGAGUUUGGGAGAGGGAUGCGGAAUUCCAGGUGUAGCGGUGAAAUGCGUAGAUACUGGGAGGAACACCAGUGGCGAAGGCGGCUACCUGGACCGGUUCUGACGCUGAUGCGCGAAAGCGUGGGUAGCAAACAGG
rnacentral:rRNA from 1 species